rnacentral:RNase_P_RNA from 1 species
CCAGGGGGCUGGGCAGCCGCGAGCAGAUUUCUGUUCGAGGAAAGUCCGGGCUCCACGUAACAAGGGUGGCGGGUAACGCCCGCCGUGGGCAACCAUAGGGAAAGUGCCACAGAGAGAAGACCGCCUUGCUUCGCAAGGUAAGGCUGAAAGGGUGCGGUAAGAGCGCACCGGGGCGUUGGUAACAGGGCUCGCAUGGCAAACCCCACCCGGAGCAAAGCCGAAUAGGGGCGGCGCGCUGCUUGCAGCAGGUCGGAUACGGACCAGUCGCCCGGGUUGGCUGCUCGAGCCGGCGAGCAAUCGUCGGCCUAGAUGAAUGGCUGCCCCCGCGCGGCCGGUCCUCUCACGAGGUACCGUGCGCGGGACAGAACCCGGCUUACAGGCCCCCUGGCAUC